AGUGAACGCUGGCGGUAGGCCUAACACAUGCAAGUCGAACGGCAGCACAGUAAGAGCUUGCUCUUACGGGUGGCGAGUGGCGGACGGGUGAGGAAUACAUCGGAAUCUACUUUUUCGUGGGGGAUAACGUAGGGAAACUUACGCUAAUACCGCAUACGACCUACGGGUGAAAGCGGGGGAUCUUCGGACCUUGCGCGAUUGAAUGAGCCGAUGUCGGAUUAGCUAGUUGGCGGGGUAAAGGCCCACCAAGGCGACGAUCCGUAGCUGGUCUGAGAGGAUGAUCAGCCACACUGGAACGGAGACACGGUCCAGACUCCUACGGGAGGCAGCAGUGGGGAAUAUUACACAAUGGGCGCAAGCCUGAUCCAGCCAUCCCGCGUGGGUGAAGAAGGCCUUCGGGUUGUAAAGCCCUUUUGUUGGGAAAGAAAAGCAGCAGGUUAAUACCCCGCUGUUCUGACGGUACCCAAAGAAUAAGCACCGGCUAACUUCGUG
rnacentral:rRNA from 1 species